rnacentral:rRNA from 1 species
UACGUAGGCAGCGAGCGUUGUUCGGAGUUACUGGGCGUAAAGGGUGUGUAGGCGGUUCUUAAGUUUGGUGUGAAAUCUCCCGGCUCAACCGGGAGGGUGCGCCGAAUACUGAGGGACUAGAGUAUGGGAUGGGAAAGUGGAAUUCCUGGUGUAGCGGUGAAAUGCGUAGAUAUCAGGAGGAACACCUGUGGUGUAGACGGCUUUCUGGACCAUAACUGACGCUGAGACACGAAAGCGUGGGUAGCAAACAGG